rnacentral:rRNA from 1 species
AAUCAACGCUGGCGGCGUGCCUAACACAUGCAAGUCGAACGCGAAAGCCCCUUCGGGGGCAAGUAGAGUGGCGUCCGGGUGAGUAACACGUGGGUAAUCUACCUCCGGGUGGGGAAUAACUCGCCGAAAGGCGGGCUAAUACCGCAUAAUGCAGCGGCACCGAAUGGUGAUUAGUUGUUAAAGCGGGGGACCUUAGGGCCUCGCGUCUGGAGAGGAGCCUGCGGCAGAUUAGCUUGUUGGAGGGUAAUGGCCUACCAAGGCUGCGAUCUGUAGCUGGUCUGAGAGGACGGCCAGCCACACUGGCACUGACACACGGGCCAGACUCCUACGGGAGGCAGCAGUGGGGAAUUUUGGGCAAUGGGCGAAAGCCUGACCCAGCAACGCCGCGUGAAGGAGGAAAUCCUUCGGGAUGUAAACUUCACAAGCAAGGGAAGAGCGCGCAGGGUCGAAUAAACUCUGCGUCCGACGGUACCUUGCGUAAGCCACGGCUAACUACGUG